rnacentral:rRNA from 1 species
GACGUAGGGGGCGAGCGUUGUCCGGAAUCAUUGGGCGUAAAGCGCGCGUAGGUGGCCUCGUAAGUCCGCUGUGAAAGUCAAAGGCUCAACCUUUGAAAGCCGGUGGAUACUGUGAGGCUAGAGUACGGAAGAGGCGAGUGGAAUUCCUGGUGUAGCGGUGGAAUGCGCAGAUAUCAGGAGGAACACCAAUAGCGAAGGCAGCUCGCUGGGACGUAACUGACACUGAGGCGCGAAAGCGUGGGGAGCGAACAGG